ensembl:snoRNA small nucleolar RNA SNORD103/SNORD85
GUUGGCUGUGAUGACAAACUUGCCCUCUCUGAGAGAACUGCUCUAUUAUGACAAUCAGAUAAACGCUCCUGAGCCGAA